rnacentral:lncRNA from 1 species
AUGGCAGCCCCCAUAUCUCAGGGGUUGUCUCUUUUAUCAAGGGUUUUGGGCUGGUGAUCUCCGCAGCCAGUUCUGGUGAGUCAGUCUGCAGCUAUAGUUCCAGUAAGAACUAAAAAACGUUUCACACCUCCUAUUUAUCAACCUAAAUACAAAACAGAAAAGGAGUUUAUGAAACACGCCUGGAAAGCAGGACUGGUUAUUCCUCCAGAACGUCUGGAUCAUCCCAUACAUCUGUCCUGUACAGCUGGUAUCUUUGAUGCCUAUGUUCCUCCUGAGGGUGAUGCUCACAUGCCAUCUCUUUCAAAGGAAGGACUGAAACAGAGAACUGAACAAAUGAAGAAGAAUGUGGCAUCACAAUUUUCAAUCCAGAAGAUAAAAGAGGAUGACGACAAUUUUGAAACAAAGGACUUUCCUGAAAAAGCUAAGGAUAUAUUUACUGAAGUUCACCUUUGUCUAAACAACUCACACAUGACUGACUGCAUACCUUGGUAACUGAGCACUGUUUUCCAGACAUGAUCUGAGACAUCAAAUAUAAGACCAUCCGCUGGAGCUUCCUGGAAUCUUUAGAGCCCCACCAUGUGGUUCAAGUUCGCUGUUCAAGUCUGAUGAACCAGGGCAACAUAUACGGCUAGUCACCGUAGGCAUGCACACCCAGCAGACUCUGGCCAUCUGUGACUGGUUUGGCCGGUUGAUGUAUGGACAGGAAGAUGUACCCAAGAAUGUCCUGGAGUAUGUUGUAUUUGAAAAGCACCUGACAAACCCCUAUGGAAGCUGGAGAAUGCAUGGCAAGAUCGUUCCCCCAUGGGCACCCGCUAAGCACCAUCCUUAAGAUGGUUAUGAUCCCUGGCCCUCAGCUGAAACCAGGGGAAGAAUAUGAAGAGGCACAAGGAGAGGCCCAGAAGCCUCAGCUAGCC